GUUAGUAUAUUAAUUUAUGAUUGUCAUCUGUACAAGACUCUGCAUGCCUGGUGUGCACUUGUAUCUGCAUGAAGAAUGCAGCUAAUACCUGUUAGACAAGAAACACCAGAACUUAAUUUAUUCAAAAUCCUUUCCAAGGUUUGGCCUCUGCUCUUGCAAAAUGUUUUAAACAUGGUGCUAUGGAAAAACUAAGGCGAUUAAGCUUACACUGGGUGAAAUUUGAGAUCUUAGUUCACGUACCGGAGGACUCCCAGAUGGUGUCUGUGAUGGUCAGACCAGGGAACACUAUAAAAGACAUCAGGGUUAAUUUAGUAAAACAAGGAAUCACCUCUUGGAAGAAAUGUUUUUCCUACAAUGGGAGAGAACUAGGAGAAUAUGAAACUAUUAAGGAUCUCAACAUCAAAAGUGGUGCAGUUCUUUUGCUUGUGCAUAAAAAUGCAAGGUAGCAAAAGUGAUACAGAGGAAUAUGACAGAAGAUUGCACAUGCCAUUUCUCUGGAGAGAAUGAAUCUGCGACUCACAGAAUAACAGCAUUAAAGGCAGUGUCCUUAAUCCAAAAAUUUGAGCUACUGUUUGCAGAACAUUUAAGGACUACAAUAAAAAGGAACAUUGACAUGGCUAGAAUAUAUAGCCACCUUAUGUGUAGUGAAACUUUUCUGGUUAUACAAAAACUGUGAAUGUAUCUGGAUCUGUUUUUAUACAAAACAGAAAGAGUUCAUUGUUAAUAUGCUAACCAGUAUAUGAGCAUGUCUUUUUAUUCAGCAAUCUGAAAUCUCCAGGUUCCUGUACCCAGCACUUCCUGUAUCAUCAUUCCUCGCAUGUAGGAUUACCAACAAAUAAAGGGUUGAAAAGGGUCUCGUGCAUAAGCUGACAGGUGCUUGAUGAAAUUCUCUUGUGUCUUAUGCCCAGCAGAGCAGUAACUGCCACUGUCUACACUGGUAAUUGAACACAUCAAUACUCCUUUAGCUCUGUACUUUAAAUCUUGUUGGCAUGGAAAUUUGCAUAUUAUUAUUGUAAAUAAAUGCAUUUUAUUUAAAUGUA